CAUACGUAUCGUACCGUCCCGCGCUCUCGUUCACUCUUACGAACCGGUCUUGUAAAUGUGAUCACACGUUACCCCGCUAAUAAUAUUAUUGUGCAGUGUUUUAUACCAACUUUUGAAUAGGCUUUCUGUGAACAUAGUGCUUACUUUGCUGAGGACAAAGCUUUUAUUAAGUGCGUGUCUUGUAGCUCACUUUCCGGUGAAGUGGAAGUUUUGAAAAGUUUUUUUCUGUGAAUUAUAAAGUGACAUAAACUAUUUUACCUUGUGGAAUUUCCAUUUAUGUGCCGCGUUGAACCCAUUGAACCUAUUGGAUUUGUUCUCGAGUUUUAAUAAGAAGUUUAGGCAACUUUGACAGAAUUUAACUUUAACUAAAGUUGAUCUGCAAUCAACAGAGAAAGAAAACAUUCCGAAUCUGGCCCCAUCUGAUAUAUAAGCAGGAACCAUAUGGCGAUUGGACGAUGAGCCAUGGAAUCACGCAGCGCGCCGCCGAGCCCCGACGAGUCUGGGGAGGCGGUGUUCGAUUCCCGCUGUGGACGAUACCCGCACCAACCUUCGCUCCAGAGGGCUUUUGCAAGCUGCCGAGAAACCGGUCGACCUCGUCCCCAUCAUCGUCAUGCAACUUCAGAGCCUGCUCGACCAGACGAUCGAGUACUUACCACAGCCGAGGUUCACGAUUACCCUUCAUCGGAAUCCGGCAUCGCUGCCGACUGUCCACAUGCCCAUUCAAGCAACGCAGACGAUAGUCCGUGUUAUGAUCGAUCAGACUAUGAGGGAAAUUCCAGCUAUAGUUUAAGACAUAAUUUUCUUCACACAAUUGAUUGUAAUAAGCAUAGAUCGGAUUUCAAUCGUAGUCACACACCAGAAUACAACCAUGACCAUGAUUCUGACUGUGAAAGAGGACAUCCACGGUCACAAACAACUCGUCGACCACAUCGAAAACAUCGGCGAGAAGAUGUUGACGGAGCUCAAUCACUAGAUGAACGAUGCGCUCGCGACCUUGAUGAAAUAUUGCCUGCGAGACUUGCGGCUGUAAAUCUUUCAAGGGACCUCCCGCCACAAUCGUGGAACCGUAGUAAUAUAGCAGCUACUAUGGAACGAUUUGAACCAGUGGAUUAUUCAUACGCCUACUACGAUCAUCAUUUAUCAAUGCCAUCUUCGUCAAGGAAAGCUAACCGUCAACGGGGACGUGGUGGGAUAACACGAGACCGAACAAAUCGCCAUAAUUUUGUAACAAGAUAUGGUACUGAAGAAAAUAUUUACGAAGAAAUAACAGACGGCUCUAGAACGUGCCCAAAACAUCGGUUUGUUCCGAGACAAUCGCUAGUUUCACUUGACAGAAGUGUGGUUGAAGAAGAGGUUCGUCGAGUAGAGUCGAGGCAUAAGAGAAUACUGGGAGAACUAAAUCUAAGUGUCGAAGCGAUGCUUAUGCCAGAGUGUGAAUCCCCUGAUUCGGAACGAGCGGAAGAUAGAGAUAAUAUAGAAGAAUUACUUAGGGUAGGUCCAACGGAUGAAUUAUUAUCACCAGCUAGUUGUAAUCCUCCAGAUUUGGAUAGCGGUUUUAGUGGAAGUAGUAGUGGAGCAAGCUAUGUAGGUAGUUUACGAAGGAAACCAACUGGAUCAGUACCUCAUUUACCUGCCGUGGCGUAUGGAACACGGGGGGCAGGUGUACGUAUCUUAGGCGCCGAAGAAUGUAAUUUACGUUGUCCCAAAGACGGCCAGUCACCGAGGAGUUCUAGUUGUGGAGAUGCCAAAACUAGCGGCUUCUGGAACAAGAGGGCUUGGAAGAAAAUAUCGGGCUUUUCUAGCUCGAACAGUAUAAACAAGGCAGGAUUAACAGGUCUGCUCGUUAGGUACACUUUCCGGCGUAAGUCCGGCUCCCAGGGCUCUCAGGGCAAGAGGCGUGCCGAACCCGUCAAAUGCGAUGCGUGCCUCUCGCAACGAUGUUAGCCGCUUUUAUGAUGAAGCCUGUAGGCCAAGCAGAGCUAAAUCCAGAACGGCAACAAUACCAUACAGCUACUCCAACGGAAAACUGGUGGUGCCGCUGGAUUCCCUAGCACAGAGCUGAGGGGUCGAACCCCCUCGCAAUUCCCGCCUCCAACUCCUCCGAAAGACUAUUCAGUACUAAGCGGCAUCGAUAAAAGACAUCGUCAAAGUUGCUUGAAGCAUGCAACUGUUACAUUUUAACCUUAGAUUAACCUCGACUAUAGUUAAGGUCUUUUCAUAUUUAAAUGCAAUACCGAGGCCGUCACUGAUUAUAACCAACGCGGAGUUCUUAUCUUAUCUAUUCUAUACUGCAUGCGCAUGGACGGAGAGAAUUUUUAUCGCUAUUUAUGUCAAUUGCAUUAGAAAUUUGAAAGCUAACUUGCAUACUUAUUCCUUAUCAAAAUACAUGUUUCGACUAGGACUGGUGCAUGUAUGAAAGGAAUUUUAAUAUCAACAUUCCAUAUAAUGUCACAUACAGGGGGUACCACAUUGGUGUCGCUUUCACCUCUAAGGGCGUCUAAAAGACACUGUUUUAGGCUUGACAUUGAUAAUUGUGAAAGCCAGUGUAAAUAUAAUAAAUAACUACUUGAUGUUAAAAGAGGCGUAUACGUUGAAGUGAUAGGAAAGCCUAAUUAAUAUUUUGUAUUGUUAAGGCAACAGUUUCAUAGAAACAUAAUGACUACGUUGUUGUUACUUAUCAAUUUUUAGUAGUUUCUAGGUACAAAAAGGCUGACACGAUUAAUCCGAUUUUAUACAUGAAAAUGGCUUUUUAUAUUUAUCAAAGCUUUUAGUACCAAUUGUUAGUGUCAGUUGAUUUGGUGUGUAAAAUAUAAAAUUUUGAGAUUUAAGUAAUAUUUUCCAUUCGU